AGGUGGCCACAGCAGCCAAUCCUUCUUUCUGGGGUUGGGGCAGGUGAAGCAACCCAUUCACCAUGCGAAAGUGAGGUUUGGGAGGUUCAGUAUGACCACUAUGCAAAGUCUUCGAAUGUGGGAAAUGUUUCUUCACGUAUCUUACCUACUAUGAUAUGUUCAGAAGAUGGUAUCCUCGCUGUUGUUGAACAAGGUGAGGAACCCAUCGAGCUGCUGGCAGAACCUUGUGCAAUCAACAGCUUUGACAUAGACCGACAAUAUCCUUCUGAUGUUAUAUGUAGUCUGGAGUGUGAAUCUAUAGCCGUCUUGACAAGGCCAUGACAUCCACAAAUUGACAUGUUCAGAGUUAAAUGUGAAAUCGAAGCUCGCCAAUUUUCUGUAAUUGAGAAAUGAAUCUCUGCGUAAAAAGAUGUACGAACCAAGUUACGGAUGAUGUUUAAAAGCCUGUUUUGUUUUGGUUGCUGAAAUUAGUCAUCCUCUAUGUUCGUUGAUCGACUCAGUGUCCCUCCUCCGUACUGUACCGUUACGUGGGAAUGAAAAUGAAAGCUUAUUAAACAUUGUGUCCAUUAAAAAGCUAAAGAAACUGGUUAUUGUGCAUUA